rnacentral:rRNA from 1 species
UACGUAGGGGGCAAGCGUUGUCCGGAUUUAUUGGGCGUAAAGAGCGUGUAGGCGGCUAGGUAGGUCCGUUGUGAAAACUCGAGGCUCAACCUCGAGACGCCGAUGGAAACCAUCUGGCUAGAGUCCGGAAGAGGAGAGUGGAAUUCCUGGUGUAGCGGUGAAAUGCGCAGAUAUCAGGAAGAACACCAAUGGCGAAGGCAGCUCUCUGGGACGGUACUGACGCUGAGACGCGAAAGCGUGGGGAGCGAACAGG